AGGAACGUACACAAACUCCUGUCCGUCCCUAUCUCCACCCCUUUUGCCAGCCAUGGGUGUCAGAGUGUCAAAGUAGAACAGAUUGCUUUGGUUUGUGUAACAAGGGUUGCUAAAAUUGCAAUCUUUCCUUCACAGGCGAUUCGGGGAAUACUCCGAUAACCUCAUGCAGGCAUUUCAUAUACAGGCAAUUAUAGGAAGAUAGAUUAGAGUGUCCACAAGAAUCAUAACUUCCCUUUGCCUGAUUUAUAAGCCUUAUCCUUAUUUUUUAUAAUACCAUUUAUAACAUCAACACCAUCUAGACAGCUGUCUACGGGAGUUGGCUUCUCCAAACCAUAUGCUGGUGCCCGGCUGGCAUGGGAGAAAAGAUCCUGGAGGCAAGGUCCGUGGGAGAGCUGAUCUAAGGGAGAGGUUAUGAUAAGCUCAGGUUCUGGGGUCAGGCCUGGCUGUGUCCCAGCUCUGCCACUCAUGAGCUGUGUGAUUGUGGGCAAGUGGCUUAACCUCUCUGAGCUUUAGUUUCCUCUUCUGUAAAUAUGGAGUGACAGUCAGUACUUACUACACUGCAGGAUUGUCAUCUGCAGUAAAUGAGCUGAAUCUUGUAAAUUGAUUAGCAUCGUACAGGAUACAUAGUUAGCAUUCAGUAAAUAUUAGCUAUCAUGAGAAAAGCAGAAUACAGUGAUAGAAAUCAGACCUAAAACCUUAGAGGCUUUCAGGGGGGGAAAUAAUUCAUUCUCCCAAAUAUCUGUUCAUUUGUAUGAUGUCAGCAGACACCCACCUCAGAUGUAGUCCCAAUUAUUUUUGCCAUGGUGGGAAAAACUCUUUCCACUGCCUUUUCUUCUCUCUUCCCUUCAUGUUCUCCAGCUCUUUCCCUGUGGCCAGGCUGAGUGCCGACUUGGCCAUCAUUAGCCUGUCCUUUCUCACCCUGGUGCUCGUCACAUGGAGCCUGGGUCCCUGGUGACCUCUCCCUGUGGUUUCCAGUCUGUGAAGAUGAGAAUGAGACACUGGAGAAGACAAAGGGCGUCCACUGCCCUCAGCAUUAUGAGUUAGAAAGCACUGAUGCCCUGGGGCAGCAGGAAUACUGUGACAACCUCCACACUGCCCUUUGGCUCCUUUCCCAUAGGAAGCUACAACUUGCCCCGCCUGACAAGUUCUUUAUGCUUUAAACAAAAGAGAUUAUUGGAAGGAAAGACAUGAGUGUCUCAAAGUGGUAUUUUGGUACAAAAGGAUGUCUUAAAAUAGCAUCCUUACGCUUCCCAUUGGGGCAGGAAGGACCUGAGGAGAGAGAACAUUAAGUCUAGAAAAGCCAAAAUGAUUGCUGGGCAUUAUCGUCCCCUGAUGGUAACAGGGAGGCCCUAAGUGACCGGUUGAUGGCUUCUCUCUGGGACCCCAGCCUCUGCUUCUGCGUGCCCUUUCCCUGUUGUCAGAUGCAUACAUCGAGUCCCCUCUGUGUUUCCUGCCCACCAAAGGACAGGUGACUGAACCCUUCCAAGACAAAUCACCCAGCUACCAAACUAUAGAGAAGUCUGGACGUCUGCAGGUGUAGCAGUCAGCAACAACUCAAUCAUGUAUUCAUUCAUUUGUUCAACAAACAUUUAUUAGACACCUGCUGUCUUCAGAGAUUAAAAAAUAAGCAAGUGCAACCAGUGAAUUCUUGUGGAGCUCAAGCCCAGGUGGGGAAAGAGUUGCUGAAAUGGACAAAUGAGAAGAGUCCAUUUAGACCAGAAAAAUCCUGUGAAUGCAAUGACAUCUGCCCAUACUAACCUGUGAGAGGGUGGGAGUAAAUGGGAGGCACCCUCCCAAACUGGGGAGGAAAAGAAAGGCUUCCAAAAAAAGGGAUAGUUAGUCCAGGUAGUCCAAAAGGCAGAGAUGAGGGAUAGUGCCCAGGACAAGGGCAAACCUAUAAAAGCUUAAGAGAACAUAGUAUCUCUAAGAAACCAAAGUAUUUGGGGUAGAAGGAGUAUUUGCACUGUAUGUGUGUGCAUUGGGAUGGGGACAGUGCCACAACAGAGUGGCAAAAGAUCAGGCUGAAAGAAAAAAAGGAAAGAAGGGAAGAGAAAGAAAACUGAAGGCCCUCUCUGCUUUACUUAGCAUUUGUCCUUUCUGCUCAAAGCAAUGAGAGACCACUGAGAGACCUAAACAGAAGAAUGCCACUUUUGUGUUAUUAGAUGUGAAAAAUGCACAAGUCUUACUGCCCUGUGGUGGCCCAAGCAAGUCUCAUCAGAAUGAAGGUCAGAUUUCUGAGCGUGCACUUCAAGGACCUUUGCAACUUGACAUUUCCAGUCUCUCCUCCCCUCUGCCAUGCAUCUCCAGUGGUAGAACAUUUACUCCUUCCCUCAACAUGUCAGUCAGUUUGUGUUGGUUAUCUAUUGCUGUGGAACAAACAGUUAAAAGCUUAAAAAAAAACAUUUAAAAUACCUCAACUGGUUUCCGAGGUCAGGAAUCCAGGAGUGCCUUAGCUCGGUGGGUCUGGCUCAGAGUCUUUCAUGAAAUGGUAGUUAAGAUGUCAGCUGGGGCAUCAGUCAUCUGAAGGCUUGACUGGGGCUGGAGGAGCUGAUUCCAAGAUGGCGUACUCCAUAGCAGUUGACUAAGAUGCCUCAGCUCAUUACUGGCUGCAGGCAGGAAGCCUCAGUCCUCACCCUGUAGACUUCUCCACAGUGCUGCUUUUGUGUUCUUGUGACUUCCCCUGAAAAAAACAACUCAAGAGAGAAAACAAAGAAGAGGCCAAAAUACCUUCUGUGACCUAAUCUUACACAUCCCUAUUGUAUCUACCAUAUUCUGCUUAUUAGAAACAAGUCGCUAAGUUCUUCUCAUUCUCAAGAAAAUAGGAAUUAUGCUUCAGCUCUUUAAAGGAAGAGUAUCAGGGUGCCUGGGUGGCUCAGUCGGUUAAGCGUCUGACUUCAGCUCAGGUCAUGAUCUCUAGAUUUGUGAGUUCAAGCCCCAUGUCAGGCUCUGUGCUGACAGCUCAGAGCCUGGAGCCUGCUUCAGAUUCUGU